GUCUGUUGGUUGUCAGGUGCAAGCCUUCUUUGCUGCAGUGAAGGAAUUGUCACGGAAAGAAGUGCAUUAUGGUUCUUAUGCAACAUCAGAGCAGGUGAUUGCGGCUGGUGAUCUUUGUGCUAUUUGUCAAGAGAAGAUGCAUGCUCCAAUAUUACUUCGUUGUAAACACAUUUUCUGUGAAGAUUGUGUAUCAGAGUGGUGAGACUUGCUUUGUUGUUAUAUAUACUGGCCUGCAUAGUAAUCUGAAAUUAUUUUGUUAUUUAUUUUGAAUUGGCACUUGGUUACCUGUAUGUAUGAGUUUUUUUAUU